AGAGUUUGAUCCUGGCUCAGGACGAACGCUGGCGGCAUGCCUAACACAUGCAAGUCGAACGGAGUUAUUAUUCAGAAGUUCUUCGGGAUGGAAGGAUAAGAACUUAGUGGCGGACGGGUGAGUAACGCGUGGGUAACCUGCCCUUUUGUGGGGAACAACUUCGAGAAAUCGGAGCUAAUACCGCAUAAUAAUAGAGGAUCGCAUGAUUCUUUAAGGAAGGAUGGCCUCUGAAGAUGCUAUCGCAAAAGGAUGGACCCGCGUCUGAUUAGCUAGUUGGAAGGGUAACGGCCUACCAAGGCAAUGAUCAGUAGCCGGCCUGAGAGGGUGAACGGCCACAUUGGGACUGAGACACGGCCCAAACUCCUACGGGAGGCAGCAGUGGGGAAUCUUCCGCAAUGGGCGAAAGCCUGACGGAGCAAUGCCGCGUGAGUGAAGAAGGCCUUCGGGUUGUAAAACUCUGUCCUUAUCGAAGAGAGGUAGGUAUGUGAAUAAUGUACCUAUAGGACGGUAGAUAAGGAGGAAGCCCCGGCUAACUACGUGCCAGCAGCCGCGGUAAUACGUAGGGGGCGAGCGUUGUCCGGAAUCACUGGGCGUAAAGGGCGCGUAGGCGGUUUAAUAAGUCAGUGGUGAAAACUGAGGGCUCAACCCUCAGCCUGCCACUGAUACUGUUAGACUUGAGUAUGGAAGAGGAGAAUGGAAUUCCUAGUGUAGCGGUGAAAUGCGUAGAUAUUAGGAGGAACACCAGUGGCGAAGGCGAUUCUCUGGGCCAAGACUGACGCUGAGGCGCGAAAGCGUGGGGAGCAAACAGGAUUAGAUACCCUGGUAGUCCACGCCGUAAACGAUGGAUACUAGGUGUUAGUAGUUUCGAUGCUACUAGUGCCGGAGUAAACACAAUAAGUAUCCCGCCUGGGGAGUACGGUCGCAAGACUGAAACUCAAAGGAAUUGACGGGGGCCCGCACAAGCGGUGGAGCAUGUGGUUUAAUUCGACGCAACGCGAAGAACCUUACCAAGCCUUGACAUCCCCCUGGAUGGCCCGUAACGGGGCCAGCCCUUUUUGGGCAGGGGAGACAGGUGGUGCAUGGUUGUCGUCAGCUCGUGUCGCGAGAUGUUGGGUUAAGUCCCGCAACGAGCGCAACCCU
rnacentral:rRNA from 1 species